rnacentral:rRNA from 1 species
AGAGUUUGAUCCUGGCUCAGGACGAACGCUGGCGGCGUGCUUAACACAUGCAAGUCGAACGAUGAAGCCUCUUCGGGGGUGGAUUAGUGGCGAACGGGUGAGUAACACGUGGGCAAUCUGCCCUGCACUUCGGGACAAGCCCUGGAAACGGGGUCUAAUACCGGAUACAACUCCCUUGGGCAUCCUAGGGGGUGGAAAGCUUCGGCGGUGCAGGAUGAGCCCGCGGCCUAUCAGCUUGUUGGUGGGGUGAUGGCCUACCAAGGCGACGACGGGUAGCCGGCCUGAGAGGGCGACCGGCCACACUGGGACUGAGACACGGCCCAGACUCCUACGGGAGGCAGCAGUGGGGAAUAUUGCACAAUGGGCGGAAGCCUGAUGCAGCGACGCCGCGUGAGGGAUGACGGCCUUCGGGUUGUAAACCUCUUUCAGCAGGGAAGAAGCGAGAGUGACGGUACCUGCAGAAGAAGCACCGGCUAACUACGUGCCAGCAGCCGCGGUAAUACGUAGGGUGCGAGCGUUGUCCGGAAUUAUCGGGCGUAAAGAGCUCGUAGGCGGCCUGUCACGUCGGAUGUGAAAGCCCGGGGCUUAACCCUGGGUCUGCAUUCGAUACGGGCAGGCUAGAGUUCGGUAGGGGAGAUCGGAAUUCCUGGUGUAGCGGUGAAAUGCGCAGAUAUCAGGAGGAACACCGGUGGCGAAGGCGGAUCUCUGGGCCGAUACUGACGCUGAGGAGCGAAAGCAUGGGGAGCGAACAGGAUUAGAUACCCUGGUAGUCCAUGCCGUAAACGUUGGGCACUAGGUGUGGGCGACAUUCCACGUUGUCCGUGCCGCAGCUAACGCAUUAAGUGCCCCGCCCGGGGAGUACGGCCGCAAGGCUAAAACUCAAAGGAAUUGACGG